rnacentral:rRNA from 1 species
CUUAGAAGCAGCCAUCCUUCAAAGAAAGCGUAAUAGCUCACUGGUCGAGUCCUUCUGCGCGGAAGAUGUAACGGGGCUAAGCUGUUAACCGAAGCCGCGGAUGCACUGAUUAUUCAGUGCGUGGUAGGGGAGCGUUCUGUAAGUCUGCGAAGGCGGUUCGAGAGGACUGCUGGAGAUAUCAGAAGUGCGAAUGCUGACAUGAGUAACGUUAAAGCAGGUGAAAAGCCUGCUCGCCGUAAGCCCAAGGAUUCCUGCUCUACGUUCAUCGGAGCAGGGUGAGUCGGCUCCUAAGGUCAGGCCGAAAGGCGUAGCCGAUGGGAAUCAGGUUAAUAUUCCUGAACCUGCGUCAGAUGCGAUGGGGGGACGGAGCAUGAAAGAUCAUCCGGGUGUUGGAUGUCCCGGUUGACGAGCGUAGGAGGUCUGCAGGCAAAUCCGCAGACGCAUCUCCAAGGCGAAGUCACGUGCCGCCACGGCGGCGAAGUGAUCGGAAGUGCUUCCAAGAAAAGCCUCUAAGCACCAGUCUGACGCGGACCGUACCGCAAACCGACACUGGUGGGCGAGCUGAAUAUGCUCAGGCGCUUGAGAGAACUCGGGAGAAGGAACUCGGCAAAUUGACACCGUAACUUCGGAAGAAGGUGUGCCGUAGUACCGUGAGAGGAGAGACACCUUGAGCGGGAAUCGGUCUCAGAGAAUAGGUGGCUGCGACUGUUUAUUAAAAACACAGCACUCUGCAAAGUCGAAAGACGACGUAUAGGGUGUGAUGCCUGCCCGGUGCUGGAAGAUUAAUUGAUGGGGUGAGAGCCCUUGAUCGAAGUCCCAGUAAACGGCGGCCGUAACUAUAACGGUCCUAAGGUAGCGAAAUUCCUUGUCGGGUAAGUUCCGACCUGCACGAAUGGCAUAACGAUGGCCACACUGUCUCCUCCCGAGACUCAGUGAAGUUGAAAUGUUUGUGAUGAUGCAAUCUACCCGCGGCUAGACGGAAAGACCCCAUGAACCUUUACUGCAGCUUUGCAUUGAACUGUGAACCGAUUUGUGUAGGAUAGGUGGGAGGCAGAGAAGCUAGGACGCCAGUGGUCUUA